rnacentral:rRNA from 1 species
GACGAACGCUGGCGGCGUGCUUAACACAUGCAAGUCGAACGGAAAGGCCCUGCUUUUGUGGGGUGCUCGAGUGGCGAACGGGUGAGUAACACGUGAGUAACCUGCCCUUGACUUUGGGAUAACUUCAGGAAACUGGGGCUAAUACCGGAUAGGAGCUCCUGCUGCAUGGUGGUGGUUGGAAAGUUUCGGCGGUUGGGGAUGGACUCGCGGCUUAUCAGCUUGUUGGUGGGGUAGUGGCUGACCAAGGCUUUGACGGGUAGCCGGCCUGAGAGGGUGACCGGCCACAGUGGGACUGAGAUACGGCCCAGACUCCUACGGGAGGCAGCAGUGGGGAAUAUUGCACAAUGGGCGGAAGCCUGAUGCAGCAACGCCGCGUGCGGGAUGACGGCCUUCGGGUUGUAAACCGCUUUCGCCUGUGACGAAGCGUGAGUGACGGUAAUGGGUAAAGAAGCACCGGCUAACUACGUG